rnacentral:lncRNA from 1 species
UGCUGAAUAAGUAGGUUGGAGUGGGGUCUCAAGAGAGCAGCCCCUGCUGCUUCUAGCUGGUGACCGAUGACACCACGGGCCAGGGCUCCUAUCUGGAUGCCAGCAGCUUCCCUCCUGUCCUCCUGUCCCUCUCCCUUGGCCCACAGGAAGGAGGAGCGGAGAGGGCGUUACCUCCAGGCAGGCCAGGUGCACGUCCUUCAUGAUGCAGCCAGCACUCAUCAGGACUUGCUGCUUCAGAAGCAGGCAGCUCAGCUCCAGCGUCGCCAGCCGGAUCUUCCCAUCUGCAGAGCACACCAGGAAGCACACAGGACCUGCAGUGACAGAAGACCUGUUAGGGCUACUAGAACAGUUCCUGCCUGGAGUAAGAGGUCUUCAAACUCCUUAUCUGCUCAACUGACGUGGCUCUUCAAAAAUACACUUACAGAAACAAAUAUUUUGCUUGAUCCAAGCUUGGAGAACUGAAUGGAUUAUUUGCGCUUGUACCACGUCUUUUCCUGUUACUCUACAAAAGGGGGAAAGGUGGCACUUCUCGGAACUCUUAAAAUACGGUCCCUUGAGUACCAGAUGACGCUUCAUUUAGAACCUUGACAAAAUAGUGGAAGAUAGCAUUGAAGAGAUGAUUGUCUGGAUUCUAAGUAACUCCUGCACAUGCACAUUGAUGUAAUAAGAAGUAACAAUAUAUCUUGCUUUUCUGAAUUCCUUCCAGCUCCCAGAAAGAGGCUAAGUCAUACCAAGGAGAUGACCUGGGUGAGGGACGGCCUAAAGACUUGAGUAGGGUAGUAGUCUCUCUCAUGCCCCAAAACGCCCCACAAAUGUGGGUUUCCUCAAAAAAUUUCAUUGCAGUGAAAAUUUAAUUUGUGGCUUCUGUAUCCCAUGUUAAUGCUAAAUGUGUAACUCUGAAGGAUUCUGG